rnacentral:rRNA from 1 species
UUGAACGCUGGCGGCAUGCCUUACACAUGCAAGUCGAACGGUAGAGGGGCAACCCUUGAGAGUGGCGAACGGGUGGGUAAUGCAUCGGAACGUGUCCAGUCGUGGGGGAUAACGCAGCGAAAGCUGUGCUAAUACCGCAUGUGAUCUGUGGAUGAAAGCAGGGGACCGCAAGGCCUUGUGCGAUUGGAGCGGCCGAUGUCAGAUUAGCUAGUUGGUAGGGUAAAAGCCUACCAAGGCGACGAUCUGUAGCUG